rfam:Parcubacteria bacterium GW2011_GWA2_47_21 TX94_C0011, whole genome shotgun sequence.
CCCCUCGUAGUUUAAUGGAUAGAACUGCGGACUUCUAAGCCGCUAAUGGGUGUUCGAUUCACCCCGAGGGGA